CGGAAGGGAAACAGGGAAACCACUCUGUUGCCUUCAGUUGACACCCAAUACACUCUGUUUCAAUGUGUACUGGGGUGAUGGGAUGCUCCACGACCGAACAUCCAGCAAGGGAAGGCAAGUGACACAGAAGCUUCCAGCACACAAGCUCAGAAGGUGGUGGAGAGGUCUCCCAUAUAGCAUGAUGUAUGAUCUACGAGAGAGAGAGAGAGAGAGAGAGAGAAGACAGGCUGAGGAAACAGGAACAUGGGGUCACAGCGACGUCCUGAACACCAGAAAGCUAGCGUUGUUUCUCUAUGGACACGGGCAACUGUUGCCUGGUUGAAGAUAAAUGAUCCAAGUCCUCUCCGCUCCGAAUUCUUCUCUCCACAAUAUCACUUAGGUGAACUCCGGCUCCGGGGCUGGGGUGGAAAGUAACACACCCAGGUGAACAUGAGCACAGCUGUGUCCUCAGAACUGAAGAUCCAGAUGUGGACAAAGGCAGGUGAAGUUGGUGACAAUAAAAUGUGACAAAGGUCACAAGGAGAAAAACAUGAGGAACCAGGAUGUAAUUCCAGCUUGAGCAUUACACCGGCCACCUCACCUCUUCCAAGUUCCAGCUCCCUCAUGGGCAACAUGCAAAUGCAGCAGGUGGCACCUUUCCAAGGUUCCUGUGAGCCGAGGAUGCCCACACACAGUGUCUGAGUCCCAGGCACACAGUGAGCAUGUGUAAAUGGAAGUGGUGGUGUGGUAGUUGU